GUUCCAUGUUUCGCGCACCAAUAUAGUAAACGUUAUGUAAUGGAUAUUAUAGUGUACUGAAAAGUUAACUGGAUACCUCCAUACACGUAUAUACAUACCCUAUCCCUAACCUUAAACCUAACCCUAACCCCUAACCCUAACCUAACCCUAAUACCUAACCCCUAACCCUAACUUAUAUUGGUGCGCGAAACAUGGAACGAUA